AAACUUACUUGGCGGGGGAAUUCUCGUGAUCACGAAGGCGAGGUUCCCGGUGUGAGGCGUAGUCAUUGCACUGCGACGUCGCUGAGCACCGUUGCCACCCCGACAAGGGGUGAGCGGCCGCGUAAUUUUUGAGUGUGGGGACUGCGUUCGCGCCGUCCCCUG
rfam:Trichuris trichiura, WGS project CBXK01000000 data, contig: TTRE_37